AGAGUUUGAUCCUGGCUCAGGACGAACGCUGGCGGCGUGCUUAACACAUGCAAGUCGAACGGAAAGGCCCUUCGGGGUACUCGAGUGGCGAACGGGUGAGUAACACGUGGGUGAUCUGCCCUGCACUUUGGGAUAAGCCUGGGAAACUGGGUCUAAUACCGAAUAGGACCACGCGCUUCAUGGUGUGUGGUGGAGAGCUUUUGCGGUGUGGGAUGGGCCCGCGGCCUAUCAGCUUGUUGGUGGGGUAAUGGCCUACCAAGGCGACGACGGGUAGCCGGCCUGAGAGGGUGACCGGCCACACUGGGACUGAGAUACGGCCCAGACUCCUACGGGAGGCAGCAGUGGGGAAUAUUGCACAAUGGGCGCAAGCCUGAUACAGCGACGCCGCGUGAGGGAUGACGGCCUUCGGGUUGUAAACCUCUUUCAAUAGGGACGAAGCGCAAGUGACGGUACCUAUAGAAGAAGCACCGGCCAACUACGUGCCAGCAGCCGCGGUAAUACGUAGGGUGCGAGCGUUGUCCGGAAUUACUGGGCGUAAAGAGCUCGUAGGUGGUUUGUCGCGUUGUUCGUGAAAACUCACAGCUUAACUGUGGGCGUGCGGGCGAUACGGGCAGACUAGAGUACUGCAGGGGAGACUGGAAUUCCUGGUGUAGCGGUGGAAUGCGCAGAUAUCAGGAGGAACACCGGUGGCGAAGGCGGGUCUCUGGGCAGUAACUGACGCUGAGGAGCGAAAGCGUGGGGAGCGAACAGGAUUAGAUACCCUGGUAGUCCAA
rnacentral:rRNA from 1 species